rnacentral:misc_RNA from 1 species
GAUGAAGAACGCAGCGAAAUGCGAUACUUGGUGUGAAUUGCAGAAUCCCGUGAACCAUCGAGUCUUUGAACGCAAGUUGCGCCCGAAGCCAUUAGGCCGAGGGCACGCCUGCCUGGGCGUCACACGUCGUUGCCCCCCCAUCUACUCCUUCGGGAUUGCGGGGGGCGGAUGAUGGCCUCCCGUGCGCCUAGUCACGCGGUUGGCAUAGAAGCCAAGUCCUCGGCGACGCACGCCACGACAAUCGGUGGUUGCGAAACCUCGGUUGCCCGUCGUGUGCGGUCGUCGCGCAUCGAGGGCUCGAAAAAAUUGCCGGGCUCCGGCUCGGCUUUCAACGCGACCCCAGGUCAGGCGGGGUUACCCGCUGAAUUUAAGCAUAUCAAUAAGCGGAGGA